CAACUGCUCAUGAGGCAGACUCACACCCCACAGAGCACGGCUGGCAUAUUUGUGUUGAUACAUCGUUGGGGAUGCCAACAUGCUGCUGUCCCUGAUCAGUGUCAUUGUCGCCUUGUGGAUCUCCUGGACUCAUGGACAAGAAACAACCUGUGAUCCUCCAGCUAUUGCUCAUGGUCUGUAUGCACCUCUCAGGACCAAAUACAGACUGGAAGAUGUAAUCACGCACCACUGUGACAAUGGCUUUUAUCCCUCCUCCUGAAGGAAUGAGACAAGAUGCACUGAAGGAGGCUGGGCACCUCCUCCCAGAUGUAUCCUUGAGUCUUGUGAAUUUCCAGAAAUAAAACA